rnacentral:tRNA from 1 species
AGUUAUAAAAUCAUUUGAUGAUGAACUGUAAAUUCAUAUUUCUCACCUUUAACUU